GAGUAAUACAUAGGUAACCUGCCCCUGUGCGGGGGAUAACAGAAGGAAACUCCUGCUAAUACCGCAUAGCCAUGAGCACCGCAUGGAGCUCAUGCCAAAUAUCCUUUAUGGGAUAGCGCAGGGAUGGACCUAUGGCGCAUUAGCUUGUUGGCGGGGCAACGGCCCACCAAGGCAACGAUGCGUAGCCGGCCUGAGAGGGCGGACGGCCACAUUGGGACUGAGACACGGCCCAGACUCCUACGGGAGGCAGCAGUAGGGAAUUUUCGGCAAUGGGGGAAACCCUGACCGAGCAACGCCGCGUGAGCGAAGAAGGCCUUCGGGUCGUAAAGCUCUGUUGUAAAGGAAGAACGGCGCAUACAGGAAAUGGUAUGCGAGUGACGGUACUUUACCAGAAAGCCACGGCUAACUACGUGCCAGCAGCCGCGGUAAUACGUAGGUGGCGAGCGUUAUCCGGAAUCAUUGGGCGUAAAGAGGGAGCAGGCGGCCGCAAGGGUCUGUGGUGAAAGACCGAAGCUAAACUUCGGUAAGCCAUGGAAACCGGGCGGCUAGAGUGCGGAAGAGGAUCGUGGAAUUCCAUGUGUAGCGGUGAAAUGCGUAGAUAUAUGGAGGAACACCAGUGGCGAAGGCGACGGUCUGGGCCGCAACUGACGCUCAUUCCCGAAAGCGUGGGGAGCAAAUAGGAUUAGAUACCCUAGUAGUCCACGCCGUAAACGAUGGUCACUAAGUGUCGGGGGUCAAACCCCGGUGCUGCAG
rnacentral:rRNA from 1 species